GGAUGUGAGGGUGAUCUGGCUGCAACAUCUGUCACCCCAUUGAUUGCCAGGGUUGAUUCAGCUGAUCUGGCUAGCUAGGCGGGUGUCCCCUUCCUCCCUCACUGCUCCUUGUGCAUUCCUCCUGAAGCUGCGUGCUCGGUCGAAGAGGACGACCAUCCCCGAUAGAGAACUAUUCUUUGGUCAAGGGUAUAUGAGCAGCUGUGCUCCCCUGCUAGAACCUCCAAACAAGCUCUCAAGAAAUAAUAUAUCGGGAUCCCUGAGUGGCGCAGCUGUUUGGCGCCUGCCUUUGG
rfam:Canis lupus familiaris chromosome 3, whole genome shotgun sequence.